rnacentral:rRNA from 1 species
GAUGAACGCUGGCGGCGUGCCUAAUACAUGCAAGUCGAGCGAACGGACGAGAAGCUUGCUUCUCUGAUGUUAGCGGCGGACGGGUGAGUAACACGUGGAUAACCUACCUAUAAGACUGGGAUAACUUCGGGAAACCGGAGCUAAUACCGGAUAAUAUUUUGAACCGCAUGGUUCAAAAGUGAAGGACGGUCUUGCUGUCACUUAUAGAUGGAUCCGCGCUGCAUUAGCUAGUUGGUAAGGUAACGGCUUACCAAGGCAACGAUGCAUAGCCGACCUGAGAGGGUGAUCGGCCACACUGGAACUGAGACACGGUCCAGACUCCUACGGGAGGCAGCAGUAGGGAAUCUUCCGCAAUGGGCGAAAGCCUGACGGAGCAACGCCGCGUGAGUGAUGAAGGUCUUCGGAUCGUAAAACUCUGUUAUUAGGGAAGAACAUAUGUGUAAGUAACUGUGCACAUCUUGAUGGUACCUAAUCAGAAAGCCACGGCUAACUACGUG